rnacentral:rRNA from 1 species
GGGCCCGCACAAGCGGUGGAGCAUGUGGCUUAAUUCGAUGCAACGCGAGGAACCUUACCUGGGCUAAAUCCACAGUGAUGUCUUCUGGAAACAGGAGGUCCCUUAGGGGCACUAUGGAAGGUGCUGCAUGGCUGUCGUCAGCUCGUGCCGUGAGGUGUUGGGUUAAGUCCCGCAACGAGCGCAACCCCCUGUGGUUAGUUUACCAGCACGUAAAGGUGGGGGACUCUAGCCAGACUGCCUACGCAAGUAGUGAGGAAGGUGGGGACGACGUCAAGUCAUCAUGGCCCUUACGUCCAGGGCUGCACACGUGCUACAAUGGUCGGUACAAUGGGUCGCCACCCAGCGAUGGGGCG